rnacentral:rRNA from 1 species
AUUGAACGCUGGCGGCAGGCUUAACACAUGCAAGUCGAGCGGAGCGGCGGACGGGUGAGUAAUGUAUCGGAACGUGCGCAGUAGCGGGGGAUAACUACGCGAAAGCGUAGCUAAUACCGCAUACUAUUGGAGCGGCCGAUAUGGGAUUAGCUAGUUGGUGGGGUAACGGCUCACCACGGCGACGCGCCCUAGCUGGUUUGAGAGGACGACCCGCCACACGGGGACUGAGACACGGCCCAGACUCCUACGGGAGGCAGCAGUGGGGAAUUUUGGACAAUGGACGAAACCCUGAGCCAGCCAGCCCGCGUGUGCGAUGAAGGCCUUCGGGUUGUAAAGCACUGUUGGCAGGAAAGCGGUACCUGCAGAAUAAGCACCGGCUAACUACGUGCCAGCAGCCGCGGUAAUAC